GACGAACGCUGGCGGCGUGCUUAACACAUGCAAGUCGAACGGAAAGGCCCUGCGUUUGUGGGGUGCUCGAGUGGCGAACGGGUGAGUAACACGUGAGUAACCUGCCCUUGACUUUGGGAUAACUUCAGGAAACUGGGGCUAAUACCGGAUAGGAGCUCUUGCUGCAUGGUGGGGGUUGGAAAGUUUCGGCGGUGGGGGAUGGACUCGCGGGUUAUCAGCUGGUUGGUGGGGUAGUGGCUUACCACGGCUUUGACGGGUAGCCGGCCUGGGAGGGGAGCCGGCCACAUUGGGCCUAAGAUACGGACCAGACUGCUACCGGCCGCAGCGGUGGAGAAUCUUGCACAAUGGGCCGACGCCUGAUGCGGCAACGCCGCGUGCGGGAUGCCCGCCUUCGGGUUAUAAACCGAUUUCGCCUGUGACGAAGCGUGAGUGACGGUAAUGGGUCAAGAAGCACCGGCUAACUACGUG
rnacentral:rRNA from 1 species